UACGGGGGGAGCAAGCGUUGUUCGGAUUUACUGGGCGUAAAGGGCGCGUAGGCGGCCUCCGCAAGUCGACUGUGAAAUCUCCGGGCUUAACCCGGAAAGGUCAGCCGAAACUGCGGGGCUAGAGUGCAGAAGGGGCAACUGGAAUUCUCGGUGUAGCGGUGAAAUGCGUAGAUAUUGGGAAGAACACCUGAGGCGAAGGCGGGUUGCUGGGCCGACACUGACGCUGAGGCGCGAAAGCCAGGGGAGCAAACGGG
rnacentral:rRNA from 1 species